rnacentral:lncRNA from 1 species
GGUUCCAGUGAUGAGGCUGCUUCAGACACACAGCCCUGCACCUACAGGACAGCAGCUCCAAGCCUUGCACCAGGCACAGCUCCUGCAGCUGCCCUGGGACUGUCGCUGGCUGUAUAGAACAGACCAGAUUUGAACCUUCCACAUUAUUGUUUGUUAGGGAGGGGGGAACCAUUACAGGUGGAGUUUCAGGAAUGGUUCACAGGAAACCUUUUUCCUGACAGGGGAGUGCAAUAUCCUCCCACCCACCGAGCAGACAGCACUCAACACCAGCCCGGCCGGUCUCUGAAGGCCAGGAGAGGUCUGACACAGUAAGUCACCUGGGACAAGAGCCAAAACAUGGGACGGAGGUGUUAGAAUCCGUAUUUGGCUUGAGUCUGACGUCGACUGAGCUUAUUUUCAGACCAUGUGUUUUUCAGUUCCAGUUCCCUUUCCUUCGCCUGAUGGAUCAGGUACGUGAUCUGGUGUUUCCUCCUUUGCUGUCCUGUGGGCUGAUCUCCUUUUUUCUUGCUGAAUGAUUUCAUGGUUUUCUCCUCUGUUAAGGAUUUGGUCAACCACUGCUGGGCUCCACUCAGCUGAUCAUCACCCUUGAUAUCCACAAAAUUGAUUUCUUCUCUCCCCCUAUUUCGCUUGCCUUGCAGCCGUUUGAACGCUUCAUCGUCUAGGAAGGAGGAGUCGGUGCUCAUCUCCUGCGGCGGUGCCUGCGCUGGUUCC